UACGUAGGGGGCUAGCGUUGUCCGGAAUCAUUGGGCGUAAAGCGCGUGUAGGCGGUCCGGUAAGUCCGCUGUGAAAGUCGGGGGCUCAACCCUGGGAUGCCGGUGGAUACUGUCGGGCUCGAGUCCGGAAGAGGCGAGUGGAAUUCCUGGUGUAGCGGUGAAAUGCGCAGAUAUCAGGAGGAACACCAAUGGCGAAGGCAGCUCGCUGGGACGUGACUGACGCUGAGACGCGAAAGCGUGGGGAGCAAACAGG
rnacentral:rRNA from 1 species